UGUAUUUGUGUAAUAUUUUAAUAAGAGGCAGGGGGGGAAAGGAAUGAAGGAAAUGUUUUUAUUAUCAAAGUGUUUCUUCCAGUUACCAGCUUUCCUCUUCACAAACUACAUAAAUAAGGACAUUUUAAUACCCUAAUUAAUAUCCAUUUUUAACUCUAUGCCAUGUUUUUAUUACCAUCCUCUCAUUAAAAAUCUAAUGAACAUUAGCAUACUGACAAGGAUAAUAAAUGCCAACAAUUCAUAUCCGGUUAUUAAAGCUAAUGGUUUUCCCAUUGGAACAUAAUAUAUGUUUCAGCCUCUUUUGCCAAAAGCUCAACGAUACUUUUAUCUCUAGUCAACCAAUUGCACAUUUAAUUUAAUACCUAUUAAAUGCAAAGAGCAACCCAGAAAUUACAUUAGAAUUGUUACCCAAGCCAUCAGGAGCCAGUAACUAGAAAGUGAAGUUUAGGUAAAGGACUAAUGCUAGUUGCAGAAUGGAAAUAAUAAGUAAAUUCCUGCCUCAGCAAAGUGGCUUCUUUGAGCAGAAAAAAUAAAAAUAUGACAGACUCUGCCUAACAGCAGGACAAAUGUAACUGCUUCUCACACAAAGCUGAGAGAAGUAUCAUUUUAAACAUUUUUGUUUCUAAGAACCUUUCCAAUGCAAAAAUCUUACCUCUGAAUUCUAUUUUGUUUGGCUUUCCAGCAACUACAUUUUUUUUCUUUUUGUUAUACUAGUUCUCUGAAUUGCUAAUUUGGCAUGUUGUUUCAAAAGAAAGGGAAUUUUUUUUUAAAUAAAAUUAAUUAGAAAAGCUACAGAAAUUGAUCUGGACCCAUAGAAAAGACUUUCUACCUGAAAAGCUUGUUGAACGUGAUAUUAAGAGGUGUCAGAGUGUAUUGCUUACUGACAUAGACAUAUUGCCUGUCUAAAAAGUGAAUUACCACUAAAUCUAGACAAUGCCACAUGCCCACUUAAAUAUUGUAAUAUAGUCAUGGGUUGGCACUUACACUUUAUUGCACAAAAUAUAAAAUGAAUUGAUAUACCUUUCUUCAAAAUAUUUUGUUUUCUUUGAAAUGAGCAGUUUCAUGAUUGAUAAAACCUAGAUGUCCUUUUAGGAUUCAGUCUAGAAAGGUCAAGGAAAUUUCAAAAUUUUUUUCCAAAUAUUUGAAUUGUCUCCUUACUUUAUAAAUCAAUAUAUAAAGCAUUAGAAAAUAAAUUCAGGAAAACCUAAGACUUGUUUUUAUUUCUAUAAAAUUAAUGCAUUUAGAGACAAAUCAUUUUCAUCAUAAGCACAAGAUAUUAGCAAAAGAUAAGAUUGCUAAGAGUUGAGGUGAGUAAACUUGCAGGUGACGGUUAUUGGAAGAGAUGGUCAUCCUUAGACCUCUUGCCUGUUGACACAUCUUCCUGGGUAUGCCAAGGCCCAGACCACUCUUCUACCCAAUCCAUUACUCAGGGUUGUUAUGUACCUGUUUGCUCAAAAGCAGAAGUAAUGUCUUCUCUCCACAGCUCUGACAAAGAACAGAUUAACUUACUCUUGGUGUAAACGUAGUAGAUUACCUAAGCUCAAUAUUCCUCAACUGCAACACAAGCCUAUUAUGUGUAGCUCAUCUAUAGCUCCCACGGAACUUCCACAGAAGAGCACCCAAUAUAAAUAUAAUGAUGCUCAUGUGCCAUGAGAAUGAGUAAUAACAAAUUUGGUCUCUGACCCAAGAGUCUCUUACCUUCAAUCAGCACCUAUGAAACAUUAACAACCUAACUUCCUAACUUUUAAAGAGGGAAAAAUCUAGUCUAAGAUCUGACAAAGGUUACUUAAGGCAAAGCUAAUUAAACUCCCUAAGCAUUAAUUUCCCCAUAUGUAAAAAAGGAGACAUGAUAAUGCCAAUCUUGGGUUUUUAAGAGUAAUAUUUUACCUGUAAGGUCUUUAGUACAAAAAAAAAAAAAUGCUCAGUAGAUGUUUGCUUUUGCUUAAAUAUUGCCACACAAGAGUAAACCAUGUCAAAAGAAGGGUUAGUUUAUUCUAGGCAUUUACUUUUUCCAUACUUAUUCAAGUGCAACUUGCAAUCCUAAGAAAGUUUUUAUAGAAAUCUAAUACUGAGGGGUGCCUGGAUGACACAGUUGGUUAAGCUGUCAACUUAACAGAUCUUGAUUUGGGCUCAAGUCAUAAUCUCAAAGUCAUGAGAUCAAGCCCUGAGUUGGGCUCUGUGCUCAGCAUGGAGUCUGCUUGGGAUUCUCUCUCUCUCAUUCUCUUCUUCUGUCCCUCUCAUACCUGCAUGUUCUCUCUCCCUCUCAAAUAAAAUCUAUAAAAAAAAUCUAAUAUUGAAUCACAUUACACAAUUAUAUUGAACUCUAUUUGAUCUCAUUAUAGCAUUUCUUUAAUAUAUGGCCACAUUCCACUUUAAUUCUAUUAAAAAUAUUUUUAAAUGUGUUAUCUAUACUCAUAAAUUCUAUCACCAUGCAGUUUUCUAUUCUGUAACAUUUUAUAAAAUAAAUUGGAGAUUUUCCAUUAUUUAUAUAUAUUUUAAAAGAAUUUGAUAAAGACUGGAAUUCUCUCUUUAAAAUAUGUAUUGGAACUCUAAAUCUUUCUGAGAUGUGUGCUUUUAUUGGGGGGAGAUAGUUCUCUAACAGAUAUCUUCAUUCCUUUCACUAUUGUUGCUAUUAGUUUAGAUUCCUGUGGGGACAGACUUUGUCAGUAGUUUCACCCACAUUCCCUUUCUUACUUCUACUUACAGAGGCUAACAAGUUGACAUAUUUGCCUUCUAUCCUCUCUUAUAGUUCAUGGAGGCCAUGUUGUCCCAGUUAUGUGUGAGGCCUGAAAAAGAAAGGCCAAUGAUUGUUAUGAUGGACUGAAGAUAGCUAGAGGAGAAUCUCCUCUCUCAACACAUCUUUAUCUAUUCUUAUUACCGGCCCAUUACAGUAGAUCCAGCCUUGCAUGCCUACUUUUAUUGCCAGUGUAAACAACACCCUCUCCCACCAUGAGCUAGGAUCUGAUAAAAUCCUCAGCCUUUGGUUUGUUAACUGCUUCCCCACCAUUCUCUUAGCCUUCCCUAGUCUGACUUUAGUGGUUUCACGGCACUCUUAGGGAAGCCCACUUACUUUGCCUGGUUCUUUCCUUUACCUCAGUUGAAUCAUAGAUGAAAUGGUACCUCCUUCUGUCCAAGCCUAUCUUUGCUAUGCUUUCCACAAUUUCUUCAAAAUCAUUUCUCUGUUAAAGCACUGAUAGCACACAUAUCCACACACACAUGCAUACACAUGUGUACACAUACAUAAUUUUGAUCAUUUCAGUGAGAUUAGGGGAAAUAGUUCCAAAGAAUUAGACUAAAACAAAUAUGUCCAUCUUAUAUUCUGGAGGACCAAGAGAAUUUAACUCAAAAAGGUUAAGAAAGAUUAAAGAGGUCAAUGGUAACCUGGGGUAUAGAGAAAACUGCUAGAAAACUAUUACAGUGAUUCACAUAAGGCAACUGCUAUGAAACUGAGGAGCUCUCUCAUGAGAAAAAUACAAGGUGGAUAAAGUGACAGGAUCCAUUAUAGGAAUGGAUUGGAUACAGGGAAAGAUGAAGAAAGAAAUUAAAAGAUUAAGAUUUCAGUCCUAUGGGACACUGGAGAAAAAAAGGCAAAUAUGUGGCAAAGGAGGGAAGUCUUAAGUAUAAAAUACAAGGUAAAUAGUGAAGACGUUAAAGUUUGAUAUGAAGACAGAAUUUUAAAAGAGAAAAUACCUUAUUUGUGGAUAGAGAUUGAGGACCAAAUUUUGACCUAGUUUUGCAGACCUGAGAGCAAGCACCAACCCAGAUGUGUUCUCUGAAGCCCCCAGAACAGAUGGCUUUUCUAGGAGAAGUGAAAGGAAAGGGACAUGGGACCAAGAUCUGAGUUCUCAGCUGCAAUCAUAAGAAAGAAGGUGAAGCAAAAAAUUUAGACCAUUUCAAGUACUGGUUUGUACCUUUCUUUUAAUAUUCUUUAAAGAUUUAUUUAUUCAUGAGAGACACAGAAGAGAGGCAGAGACAUAGGCAGAGGGAGAAGCAGGCACUCUGCUUCUAUAUUAAAUAUAAUUGUGAAUAUAGCAAUUCAUAAAAACUUCAUAAAAUUUCAAGAUUUUAGUGAUAUUUUCCAUUGUUACCCAAUAUUAUAUAUGUUAUAUAUCAACUGAAAUUUUCAUCUAUUAUUUCCAGUUCCAUAAUAUUCAUAAAAAGUAAUAAAAAUGUAAAGCAGAGCUUUCUAUUACCUACAAUGUGGAUUACCUACUUCAACAUGUAAUAUGUACUAUUAUCUGGUUUGUGAUACUUCGGCCAAUUUUCAACCUAAUUUUCGAUGUUUCUCACCAAUUCAUUUUAAUCCACUUAGUAAAUAAAAUUUCACAGGAUAAUCUACCAUAUACUUUACUGAAAAUCAAUACUCCCAAAUGUUUUUUCAUUUUUAUUCAACAAUCUUCAUAUUUUGUCAUCCAAAUAACUUAGUUUAAAUGUUAGUUUAUGCUCUCUAGCCUUUUUAUCUCAAGUCUUCUAACACUAAGUGGUAGUAAGCACAAGAUUAUUUUAAAUAUGAUAAUGUUCUAACAAAGAAGAAAUCAGAGAGAAGUAAUAAAACUUUAAAAAUAGCAUAUGGAAAAAAUAGUGAAAAUUAGCAAAAUAAUUUAAAGAAAACAAGAGUAGAAAUUGAAACAGGAAAAUAUUUAAGUAAGUAGCAAAAGUGGAUUAUUUUAUGAAUCCAAAAUGAUGAUAUAUUAAGUACAUCCCAGAGAAUUCUGGUUUAGGUGGUUGUGUUCAAAGGCCCAAUAUAUUUGCAAAAUCUGUCUGUCUUCAGCAAGAAAAAAACAGAAAAGAGAACAUGGCAUCAGAGCUGCUAAAGCAUUCUAAGAUUAUAUCGCUAAAUCCAGUGCAUUGGAUUAAACUGCUAUGCUUGAAAUCUUAAAAUCAAGUUACUGCACCUCAUAGCAACAGGUUCAAAAGACAUCAUUCAGCAGGGAAACAAAAAUAAAUCUCACCAAAGGCAGCCUGAGAUUAAAGUAAAGGUAUUGAAAAAGCAAGAAAUGCAAUUCUACCAGCCAGGGGGAGGAAAAGAUGCCUCCUGAAACAAGGGGAAAAACAUACCAGUUGUACUUAAGCAAAAGAAAACAAAACAAAAAUGUAAGUUUUACAUCAGUAACAUGGAAAGUUGUUUUUUGUUUGUUUUAAUAAAAUUAGAUGGAUAUUUGCUGUUGUGGAGAUCUUAGGGAAGUAGAUCUAUAAGCAAACAUAAUAUGCUGAAGAUACAUGAUCACCUACACCCCUAAUUCUACAGGCCUUUGAAAUGUAUGUAGCCAUUAGAGGGUACCAAAAGUUGAUUUUGUUUUCUCAUAGCAUAGUGCUGAGAAUGUGCUCAGCACUGGGCUCUCAGACUGGGCCAUAAUGAUGCCGGUUGUGAGUAUGGAGUCCAGAGAAGAAAACAGUUAAGCAAUACUGUUGUAUAAUAAUGUGAAUGUGAUACAAGAUGUCAGGGAAGUCAUCAGAAGGGAUGCCUCCUCCAGAGGCAAGAGGCUGAAAGGCUUUUUGAUCAGGAAGCUAAGGCUUCAAUUUUUUGAUCAGGAAGCUAAGGCUGUCAAUUUUUUGAGAGUUAGAAGAUAGCCAAACAAAAAGGGGGUACUAGUCAAGAAAGAAGGUACAACCCAUCAGUGUCCAGAAGUGAGGGAACACAGAGAAGGCUCAAGGAAAUAAAAGGAGUUCAGCAUUUCCAGGAAGUAGAUGUUAUUAGGGA
rnacentral:lncRNA from 1 species